rnacentral:rRNA from 1 species
UAUAGAGACUCAGAGCUGCAUAUCAAUAAGCGGAGGAAAAGAAACUAACAAGGAUUCCCCUAGUAACGGCGAGUGAAGCGGGAAGAGCUCAAAUUUGAAAUCUUCAAGGUUUUACCUUGACGAAUUGUAGUUUAAAGAAGUGUUUUCGGUUAGAGGAGUGGUAAAAGUUCUUUGGAAUAGGACAUCAUAGAGGGUGAGAAUCCCGUAUUUGACCAUUCUUUCUAGCUUUGUGAUACACUUUCAAAGAGUCGGAUUGUUUGGGAAUGCAGUCCAAAAUGGGUGGUAAAUUUCAUCUAAAGCUAAAUAUUGGCGAGAGACCGAUAGCGAACAAGUACCGUGAGGGAAAGAUGAAAAGAACUUUGAAAAGAGAGUUAAACAGUACGUGAAAUUGUCAAAAGGGAAGCGUUUGACACCAGUGUUGUUUUUCCGAAAAUCAAUUACGAAUGUUUUAUUUUUGAGAAGUUAUGACUUCAUCGGCUUGCUUCUCUCUUUACUGAAACUUUCUUAAUGCACUUUUCGGUUAACAAGUCAACAUCAAUUUCUUUUGUUGUAAAAGAGUAUGAGGAAGGUGGCUUUCUUUUCGGAGAAAGUGUUUAUAGCCUUGUACUUCUGCAAUCGGAGAGAUUGAGGUCUGCAGCGUAGAUCCUUCGGGGUUAGAUACAUUUGUGCUAAGUUAUAGCCUUUCAUAGACAACUUGUUGACUAUGAUUAAGUCAUUGUAGCUUACUCGCUUAUGCUAUUUUACCUACGCUUAGGAUGUUGAUAUGCAUGACUGAUAU